rnacentral:lncRNA from 1 species
AGCCCAUGUCCGCUGAUGUUGUGCUGGCUUCGGUCGUUAUGCUAUCGCAGGGCUAAGAACAAAACAACCAUUCAUCCUCUCUUGGGUACCAGCUCUGACGACCGAACAAAGCCGUUGACGACCAGCUCACCUGCGGUCUGUUGUGUCUGCACACCAUCCACCUGAGGUAGGGGCCCAAGUGUCCCUUCAUCAUUAAAGGCCAAAAUUGGUUUCAAAGGAAUUUCUGGGUUCUCAUUGGUGACAUCUAAUCUGGACGCUUUUGAUCCAACAGCGCCGUCUGCAGCCAAGCCUGUGCCUGUAGCCUCGUGGGUGUUCCCUAUGGUCGGCUGACUGGGGAAGAGAAGAGUAGGGCCUGGUUUACUAAUGGCCCUGAACAUUAUGCAGGCACCAUCCAGAAGUAGACAGCUGCAGCCUUAUAGGGGGACAACUCUGGAAGACACUGGUGAAAGGACAUCUUCACUGUGGGAGGAACUUCAGGCCGGAUGUUGCCAGGAGAGGAGGAGGGGGCCUGAGCGGAAGCAGCUCUGACUGAGCCGGGAGGCAAGGAGGAUGCAGGCCGGGGAGUACCAGGCAGAUGAGGCAUGGACUUGGAUGGGAGCCUGGGCCAAAGAAGACAAAGACAAUGAGUAGGUCAGGAUCAUCUUACCAGACCCCAGAACACCCACACAUGUAA